AGGCGAACGAGGGGAAGUGAAACAUCUAAGUACCCUUAGGAAAAGAAAUCAAUUGAGAUUCCCUCAGUAGCGGCGAGCGAACGGGGAUUAGCCCUUAAGCAUCUUGGAAGUUAGUGGAACGGUCCUGGAAAGGCCGGCGAUACAGGGUGAUAGCCCCGUACACGAAAACAACCUUGAUGUGAAAUCGAGUAGGGCGGGACACGUGACAUCCUGUCUGAAUAUGGGGGGACC
rnacentral:rRNA from 1 species